GAACUCCUGGCAUGCGCAGGUGACAAGAGGUUCCGCAGGGUAAGGUCACAGGCUUAUUAAACUUGGAUGACAGUAAACCGAUGACUAACUGGGUAAUUAAAACCACGAGCCUAGGCUCUCUGGGGGCCUGUUCUCUAGGCCAGUGCCCCUCAUCUUCCCCUCAGCAGAACGGCCUUUGUGGAUUUGAAACCCUCCAUGGCGACCCCACCUCCUCUCAAGGCUGUUCCUCUUGUUUGUCCGAAGCUUCAUCCCAUCUCCCUCCCCGUUCUGUAAGGAUGGAGGAAAUCGAACCCUUUAGCUGAAGCCCAGCCCAUACUCCCUCCUGCUUGACUAAAGUUACUAAGCCCUUCCUGCCAGGAGGCGCUUAGCUCUUUCUGUUCCAUGGAACUUUGGCUUCAAGCGCCCAGAGCCUCCCAGUUCCUCAUGAGAGUGAGUUGGGAACUUCAAAGUGACAAGCCCCAGCUGAGAAACCCCUGAGUUGCUUCAAAGACUGUCUUUUCCAGCCUGAAUCUUCUGGGGGAGUGUGUGUGUGUGUGUGGGGGGGGGGUGUUUCUCCCUCGCCUCUGAAAGCACAUAAGCAGUGAAGUUUACAAUGA
rnacentral:lncRNA from 1 species